UAGGGAAUCUUCCGCAAUGGGCGAAAGCCUGACGGAGCAACGCCGCGUGAGUGAUGAAGGUCUUCGGAUCGUAAAACUCUGUUAUUAGGGAAGAAUAAAUGUGUAAGUAACUAUGCACGUCUUGACGGUACCUAAUCAGAAAGCCACGGCUAACUACGUGCCAGCAGCCGCGGUAAUACGUAGGUGGCAAGCGUUAUCCGGAAUUAUUGGGCGUAAAGCGCGCGUAGGCGGUUUUUUAAGUCUGAUGUGAAAGCCCACGGCUCAACCGUGGAGGGUCAUUGGAAACUGGUUGACUUGAGUGCAGAAGAGGAGAGUGGAAUUCCAUGUGUAGCGGUGAAAUGCGCAGAGAUAUGGAGGAACACCAGUGGCGAAGGCGACUUUCUGGUCUGUAACUGACGCUGAUGUGCGAAAGCGUGGGGAUCAAACAGG
rnacentral:rRNA from 1 species